rnacentral:rRNA from 1 species
UACGGAGGGUGCGAGCGUUGUCCGGAAUCAUUGGGCGUAAAGGGCGCGUAGGUGGCCCGGUCAGUUCGUGGUGAAAGCGCGGGGCUCAACCCUGCGUCGGCCAUGAAUACUGCCGCGGCUGGAACACUGUAGAGGCAGGCGGAAUUCCGGGUGUAGCGGUGGAAUGCGUAGAGAUCCGGAAGAACACCGGUGGCGAAGGCGGCCUGCUGGGCAGUUGCUGACACUGAGGCGCGACAGCGUGGGGAGCAAACAGG